GCUGUCACCGUCAAAAUGCAAGAAAUGGGAGGUGCAGACCCUGCUCAGGGAGCUGACCAGCCAGCUGGAGGGAACUGGUGACGAACACCCCAAGUAGGGGACAAAGGUCUGUUUGCAACAUCAUGCCAACUCUGAUGUUCCGUCCUGCUGUCAAAUCGUGCGCCCCACCACGUGCUCUGGCUUGGGGCUCACAAACUCCAGUCCCUGGACUUGCAGCCCGGAGUUAAGUCACCAUCACCGAGUUCACAGCAUGAGGGCAGGAAGCCUGAGCUGGUGCCCAAGUCAUUCAGCC